rnacentral:rRNA from 1 species
GANAGAGUCUCGCCUGCCCAGUGACAAACUUCAACGGCCACGGUACCCUAACCGUGCAAAGGUAGCAUAAUCACUUGUUCUCUAAAUAAGGACUUGUAUCAAUGGCAUCACGAGGGUUGCACUGUCUCCCCUGUCCAAUCAGUGAAACUGAUCUCCCCGUGAAAAAGCGGGGGUGAAACUAUAAGACGAGAAGACCCCACGGAGCUUUAAACCAAAAGCAAUUUAGUAAAAAAUUCCCUUAUAGCUACAAAAUUAUGUUGACGGCUUUAGGUUGGGGUGACCACGGAGUAAAAUCUAACCUCCAUGUCGAAAAGAAUAUCUUAACCCAAGAACCACUAUUCUAAGUAUUAGAAAACUAACGCACUAUGACCCGAUUAUCGAUCAACGAACCAAGUUACCCUGGGGAUAACAGCGCAAUCUACUUCUAGAGUUCUUAUCGACAAGUAGGCUUACGACCUCGAUGUUGGAUCAGGAUAUCCCAGUGGUGCAGCCGCUACUAAAGGUUCGUUUGUUCAACGAUUAAAACCCUACGUGAUCUGAUUUCCAAACCGGAG